AUGGCACCAGAGUGCACACUGGAGUGGGUCCUGAGAUCACUCUGCCCCCUGCUCACUAAGCCUGUACCCUGGUGCAGGGCUGCAUCUGCCCAGAAGGAAUGUCUUUCUCCGGUUCACAAAAGGCCCCCCACGGGGCCACGGCAGUCCUCUCAAGGUCUGAAAACACAACGCAUCUCUUCUGCAGAGGGGGCUUCUUCGGGUCACUUCCAGGAUGCAAAGACAACGGGCUCUUUCCCCAGACAACUCCAGCAAACCUCACCUAACAUCUCAGCCCAAUCACAGAGUCGCAUAUCAACUCAGUGUUUAGCUGGGUCAACUGAUCCCCUGGAAAGAGCACUGGGACCUGGAAGACUUGGAUUCACAUCCCGGUUCCAUGACAUGGCACUGGCAGGGGCCUUGGGGGAGUCACAGAUCUCUAAUCUGUGCUUUUUUGCCAAGGGGACAAGAUCUGCUCUACUACAGUAGGUUGUUGUGUGGACCACAUCAGAUAAUGCUCGUGACAACGCUUUGAAGACUGUAUGGAUUUUUAACGAUUAGAUGUUGCAUAUACUUUUAAUACUCGACACAGAAGUGGAAUAUUUAGUAGCUAACACCGAGUGUUGAAUUUGUGCCAGGGACUUGAACAUGUACUGGCUCAUUGAAUCCCUAUUCUAGAAUUAGCCUCAUGUUAUAUCUUAAAUAGAAACUUUGCGAGGAGGAAAUUAAACAAACUUCCCAGGGUUCUAUAACUAGUAACGAGCAAAGCUAAAACUCAAACCACAGCCAUGUGAUUGAAGAGUUCAAGCGAUCAACCAUUUUACAAUGCGAUUCUAUCAAGUACCCCCAGUGAAUUCAGUCUCUUAAAUAUAAAACACCUUAGAGAUGUGUAGUCUGUCAUCUGAAAGCACCAAUAAUGAUCUAGAAGCUCUCCCUAGACCAAGGCCACUAGAGGAAAUAUACCAGUCUUACCUAAGAUGGUUGUCUUUGGUUCUGGGUCAGGAUAUUCAACAAGUAAACGUAUCUUGGGACGUGUAGAGACACACCAGUCAACACCACCAACAAGAGGAGGGGGAUUCACUGCCCUAGCUCCCCUUUCCUGUUUGCCCAGUGCAUUUUGAAUAGAUUUUCCUUUUGGCAUACAACUGUCACAGUCAUGACUAGGGGAGAAUUCUAUUAUAUCAUCUGUCAAAUGUAUGAAGCAUUUUUCACUGUUUUCUGAGAUAACUGAAAGCUUGGUGGUGAAGCACAUCUUUACUACUUCAGUCCUGGUUGUGUUUUCUAUGUGGAUCAAGAUGGAGACAGUAUAUCAUUUCAUUUCGCUGAUUAAAUGAGGAGAGAGGUUUUGGGUACAGAUAUUAAUACAUAAAACAGAGUUGAAAGUGACAACAUAUUUUGCUGUCCCUGACACUUUGAUACACAUUUCCUGGCAGCCCAAGAUGCCAGGGGCAUAAGACACUAGAUAAUAUAGGUCAAGAAUCCUUGGGCU
rnacentral:lncRNA from 12 species